rnacentral:rRNA from 1 species
UAAAUUAGUGUUAGAUAUAAACUUUAAAGUUAAAGAUUUUGGCGGUAUUUUAGUCUUUUCAGAGGAACCUGUUCUAUAAUUGAUAAUCCACGAUUAAUUUAACUUAUUUUAUUAAUUUGUAUAUCAUCGUAGUUUGAAUAUUUUAAAGAAUUUAAAUAUUCAAGAUUUUUAUUAAAAAUUAAAUCAGAUCAAGGUGCAGUUUAUAAAUAAGGAGAAAUGGGUUACAUUAUAAAUAUUUAUAUUUAAUAUAAAUUAAAAUUUAUAAUUAUAUUGGAUUUGAAAGUAAUAUAAUUUAUUUAAAUUAUAUGAUUUAAGCUCUAAAAUAUGCACACAUCGCCCGUC